AGAGUUUGAUCCUGGCUCAGGACGAACGCUGGCGGCGUGCCUAAUACAUGCAAGUAGAACGCUGAAGAGAGGAGCUUGCUCUUCUUGGAUGAGUUGCGAACGGGUGAGUAACGCGUAGGUAACCUGCCUUGUAGCGGGGGAUAACUAUUGGAAACGAUAGCUAAUACCGCAUAACAAUGGAUGACACAUGUCAUUUAUUUGAAAGGGGCAAUUGCUCCACUACAAGAUGGACCUGCGUUGUAUUAGCUAGUAGGUGAGGUAACGGCUCACCUAGGCGACGAUACAUAGCCGACCUGAGAGGGUGAUCGGCCACACCGGGACUGAGACACGGCCCAGACUCCUACGGGAGGCAGCAGUAGGGAAUCUUCGGCAAUGGGGGCAACCCUGACCGAGCAACGCCGCGUGAGUGAAGAAGGUUUUCGGAUCGUAAAGCUCUGUUGUAAGUCAAGAACGAGUGUGAGAGUGGAAAGUUCACACUGUGACGGUAGCUUACCAGAAAGGGACGGCUAACUACGUGCCAGCAGCCGCGGUAAUACGUAGGUCCCGAGCGUUGUCCGGAUUUAUUGGGCGUAAAGCGAGCGCAGGCGGUUUGAUAAGUCUGAAGUUAAAGGCUGUGGCUCAACCAUAGUUCGCUUUGGAAACUGUCAAACUUGAGUGCAGAAGGGGAGAGUGGAAUUCCAUGUGUAGCGGUGAAAUGCGUAGAUAUAUGGAGGAACACCGGUGGCGAAAGCGGCUCUCUGGUCUGUAACUGACGCUGAGGCUCGAAAGCGUGGGGAGCGAACAGGAUUAGAUACCCUGGUAGUCCACGCCGUAAACGAUGAGUGCUAGGUGUUGGAUCCUUUCCGGGAUUCAGUGCCGCAGCUAACGCAUUAAGCACUCCGCCUGGGGAGUACGACCGCAAGGUUGAAACUCAAAGGAAUUGACGGGGGCCCGCACAAGCGGUGGAGCAUGUGGUUUAAUUCGAAGCAACGCGAAGAACCUUACCAGGUCUUGACAUCCCGAUGCUAUUUCUAGAGAUAGAAAGUUACUUCGGUACAUCGGUGACAGGUGGUGCAUGGUUGUCGUCAGCUCGUGUCGUGAGAUGUUGGGUUAAGUCCCGCAACGAGCGCAACCCCUAUUGUUAGUUGCCAUCAUUCAGUUGGGCACUCUAGCGAGACUGCCGGUAAUAAACCGGAGGAAGGUGGGGAUGACGUCAAAUCAUCAUGCCCCUUAUGACCUGGGCUACACACGUGCUACAAUGGUUGGUACAACGAGUUGCGAGUCGGUGACGGCAAGCUAAUCUCUUAAAGCCAAUCUCAGUUCGGAUUGUAGGCUGCAACUCGCCUACAUGAAGUCGGAAUCGCUAGUAAUCGCGGAUCAGCACGCCGCGGUGAAUACGUUCCCGGGCCUUGUACACACCGCCCGUCAA
rnacentral:rRNA from 1 species